UAAGACGAACCGUGCGAACGUUGUUCGGAAUCACUGGGCUUAAAGGGCGCGUAGGCGGGCGAUAAAGUCAGGGGUGAAAUCUUUCGGCUUAACUGGAAAAUGGCCCCUGAUACUGUUUGUCUCGAGGGAGGUAGGGGUCUGUGGAACUUCUGGUGGAGCGGUGAAAUGCGUUGAUAUCAGAAGGAACGCCGGUGGCG
rnacentral:rRNA from 1 species